rnacentral:rRNA from 1 species
AGAGUUUGAUCAUGGCUCAGAUUGAACGCUGGCGGCAGGCCUAACACAUGCAAGUCGAGCGGUAGCACAGAGAGCUUGCUCUCGGGUGACGAGCGGCGGACGGGUGAGUAAUGUCUGGGAAACUGCCUGAUGGAGGGGGAUAACUACUGGAAACGGUAGCUAAUACCGCAUAACGUCGCAAGACCAAAGUGGGGGACCUUCGGGCCUCAUGCCAUCAGAUGUGCCCAGAUGGGAUUAGCUAGUAGGUGGGGUAACGGCUCACCUAGGCGACGAUCCCUAGCUGGUCUGAGAGGAUGACCAGCCACACUGGAACUGAGACACGGUCCAGACUCCUACGGGAGGCAGCAGUGGGGAAUAUUGCACAAUGGGCGCAAGCCUGAUGCAGCCAUGCCGCGUGUGUGAAGAAGGCCUUCGGGUUGUAAAGCACUUUCAGCGGGGAGGAAGGCGGUGAGGUUAAUAACCUCACCGAUUGACGUUACCCGCAGAAGAAGCACCGGCUAACUCCGUGCCAGCAGCCGCGGUAAUACGGAGGGUGCAAGCGUUAAUCGGAAUUACUGGGCGUAAAGCGCACGCAGGCGGUCUGUCAAGUCGGAUGUGAAAUCCCCGGGCUCAACCUGGGAACUGCAUUCGAAACUGGCAGGCUAGAGUCUUGUAGAGGGGGUAGAAUUCCAGGUGUAGCGGUGAAAUGCGUAGAGAUCUGGAGGAAUACCGGUGGCGAAGGCGGCCCCCUGGACAAAGACUGACGCUCAGGUGCGAAAGCGUGGGGAGCAAACAGGAUUAGAUACCCUGGUAGUCCACGCCGUAAACGAUGUCGAUUUGGAGGUUGUGCCCUUGAGGCGUGGCUUCCGGAGCUAACGCGUUAAAUCGACCGCCUGGGGAGUACGGCCGCAAGGUUAAAACUCAAAUGAAUUGACGGGGGCCCGCACAAGCGGUGGAGCAUGUGGUUUAAUUCGAUGCAACGCGAAGAACCUUACCUGGUCUUGACAUCCACAGAACUUUCCAGAGAUGGAUUGGUGCCUUCGGGAACUGUGAGACAGGUGCUGCAUGGCUGUCGUCAGCUCGUGUUGUGAAAUGUUGGGUUAAGUCCCGCAACGAGCGCAACCCUUAUCCUUUGUUGCCAGCGGUUAGGCCGGGAACUCAAAGGAGACUGCCAGUGAUAAACUGGAGGAAGGUGGGGAUGACGUCAAGUCAUCAUGGCCCUUACGACCAGGGCUACACACGUGCUACAAUGGCAUAUACAAAGAGAAGCGACCUCGCGAGAGCAAGCGGACCUCAUAAAGUAUGUCGUAGUCCGGAUUGGAGUCUGCAACUCGACUCCAUGAAGUCGGAAUCGCUAGUAAUCGUAGAUCAGAAUGCUACGGUGAAUACGUUCCCGGGCCUUGUACACACCGCCCGUCACACCAUGGGAGUGGGUUGCAAAAGAAGUAGGUAGCUUAACCUUCGGGAGGGCGCUUACCACUUUGUGAUUCAUGACUGGGGUGAAGUCGUAACAAGGUAACCGUAGGGGAACCUGCGGUUGGAUCACCU